rnacentral:rRNA from 1 species
UUCGGAGACACCGGUGACAGGUGGUGCAUGGUUGUCGUCAGCUCGUGUCGUGAGAUGUUGGGUUAAGUCCCGCAACGAGCGCAACCCUUGACCUUAGUUGCCAGCAUUCAGUUGGGCACUCUAAGGUGACUGCCGGUGACAAACCGGAGGAAGGUGGGGAUGACGUCAAAUCAUCAUGCCCCUUAUGUCCUGGGCUACACACGUGCUACAAUGGGCAGUACAAAGGGUUGCGAACCCGCGAGGGGGAGCUAAUCCCAAAAGGCUGCUCUCAGUUCGGAUUGCAGGCUGCAACUCGCCUGCAUGAAGCUGGAAUCGCUAGUAAUCGCGGAUCAGCAUGCCGCGGUGAAUACGUUCCCGGGCCUUGUACACACCGCCCGUCACACCACGAGAGUCUGUAACACCCGAAGUCGGUGAGGU